rnacentral:misc_RNA from 1 species
AUAUGGAAAUAAGGUUGUGCAUAUUAUCUGAAUGCUUAUGGUUAUUAUUUAUUUAUACAGCGAACAAUUUUUAUUUUUUGUGACUCUAUAUACAUGAAGUCUAAAAGCACAAAUUGUGUCACUCUACCCAAUUGGGUUGAUGUCUUAACCAUUUCUUGAUGAUUAAGCUUGAAAUUUGUUGAUAUUUACAAAUAGAUGAAUUUCACUAUUUAUCCCUUAAACCAUCUUUCAGCAUCUUGAGAUUUUUGCAUAACACAUUAAAUGUUUGUGGAAAUUUUGAAGUUCAUUUCUAUAUCAAUCACUAACACUUUUUGUUAUGUUGAACUAAUCUUCGUAUAAAUUUACUCCAAUUUGUCUCUUAUG